GGUAAAAGACACAGACCUACAUAUCCAAGAAGCUGAGUGCCGUGAACAAAGACAGACACCCGAACAGGGUAGGCUGAGACAUGAUAAUUAAAUUCCCAAAAAUUAAAACUGUAGAAGGUAAACUUUAGAGCAGCCAGAGAGCUAGUAUAAUUGUCUAGUGGAGGGGUAUACUCAAAUAGGUUUCUCUUCUAAAACAAAGAAGUCGAAAGGGCACACGAUAUGGUUGAACUGGAGAAAGGGAGGUUAUAGAUGGAAGAGUGGCAAGCUUCAGAUUCUAUUUAAGGAAUCUCUCCAGAAACUCUUAAACAGGAUGGGAGUCAAAAGGCAGGAACACUGGGGGGUAUUUUAGCCUAGGUACCACAGCCACACCACAAAGAAAAAAACUACCAGCAACUCCCAGCCAGGUAAACAUAGUACCUCAGUCUGCAGACCUGUCGUCAGAGACUGUGACCAGCAAAUGGUAUGUCAGGCUACGGUUGAGAAAUAAGGCAGGCUGAGGAGUCGACUCCAUUGGCGAAGCACUCACCACAGGAGUGUGAGGACCUAGGUUUGGAUGCCAAAAUCCCACAUAAAAAGCUGGGGGUGGUCAUGUGUGCCCAUAAUCCUAACGCUGUAGAGGUGGAGGCAGAUGAUCCCUGGAGCUUGUUGACCAACCAGCCUAGUUUACCUGGUGAGUUCCCAGCUCAGGGAGAGGUCCUGCCUCAAAAACAAUGAGGUGGGAAGAUCGUGAGGAACGACACCUGAGGCUGACCUCUGACCUCCACGCACACAAGUACACGAGUGUACACACACACACACACACACACACACACACACACACACACACUCUAAACAGAGAUGGGGAAGCUUGCUAAAAGGCAAAACACCCAACCUGAAGGAACAAAGCAAGCUCCAUAGGGCGGCACACAGUGUUCCUCGCAUUGAACUGAUGCUGUUCUUGUAAUUAAAUGGUCCAGAGAGAGAGCCGUGCUGACAUGACUCUCAUUCACCUGAGGCAGGAUCCCGUUACAUGGAGAAAUAUUUCUAUCUGGAAAUCAAUGGAAGCCCAUGGGAAGAAUUACUCGCUAAAUAGUGAGGGCAGAUGAGUCAAUAGACCCUCGUGAGCGCCUGAGAUGAGGCCACUACUCACUCCUGAUUAUAGGGCCAAAGACAUCAAAUUGAUAACACGGUGGUGAUACUGAACGAGGGGAAAAUGUGCAAAUUCUUAGGAAGAGAGGCAAGAACCAGCUAACAUCAUGACGGACAAGCUACCGGGGCUGCAUAUUUUCUGUUCACAGGACUGAGUCUGGGCAGCCCCCUGCCACCCACCUGAGCCCUGGGCUGGACCCUACCUCGUGAAGCCAUGUCUCUCCAAGGCCUCUUGGUCCCAUUCUCUCCCUCGCAGCAGGCGGCCAUGCCUGGCACUUCUACAGCAUACUUCAGUCCACCAGGUCAUUUCUCUUAGGGGAUCCCUGACUGGGUGCCUGGGAGCCAAGAUCCUUGGGGUCAAAUCCCACUUUCACCUCAUUCUAGAUGACUCCGGGGCAGAGUAUUGCCCACAUGUGCCUCAGUUUCUCCAUCAGUAAAAUAAGACUGAUAGUAUCCCUGAUAGGAUUCUUGUGAUGUCUAUCCAGGGAGAGUACAAGGUGUGUAAAGCCCAGUGAGAAGAAAUUCCUCAGUCAGUCAGAACUCUGCAUCCUCCUCCCCUUUACAGAAGGGGAAACUGAGGCACAAAGGGAAUCAGGGUGCUGCAGGGCCAGCAUCCAGACCUGGUGCUGCCACUUCCUUCCCACCUCAUCUGGUGGAGGAGAGAAAAUAUGAGGAGCAUGGGGCUCCUGGCUUUUGUCCCUAUGUGUGGAGCCAGGGCAAGGGACAUUGACACCCGGCCACACAUACCCAGCAUGAGCCUGAGUGGUGUUGUUGCUCAUGAGGACGACUCCAUUCCCACCUCACAGCUGAGACAUGAGUCCAAGGUCCCACAGGAUGGUGCUGUGAAGUCAGCUCAGCACCUGGCAUCCAUGGCUGUUCUUGCCCUAGACCCUACCCCACAAAAUGCUGAGUGCAGUCUGUCACAGGCAAUAACACCGAGGCUCAGGGCGGGCAUGGCAUCCUCCAAAGGUUUUACAGCCCAGGAGAGGAAGGAUCCCACAGAGCUCACACCAGAGAUGUCAUCGUCCACCCUGUGACCAGGGACCAAGCAGCCGCAGGAAGUGGGAGGGAGAACUGGAGAAACUUUCUGGCUACACAAGUAGAAGACCUAACUUUCAAGAACUUAACACGGGACAAACAAGAACUUAUUCUUUGACUGCAAACAGAACCCUUAACCUGCACAGUAUAUUUUUCCUAUUUUGUCUCACACUCAGCAGAGAACUGAUAGGCUUCAACUGACAAAAGACGGUCUGUGUGGAAAAUGGUGCAUGGGAAAUUAAACUCCACAUCUUUAAAAUGAACCUGGACACAUCUCACAACAGCCACAAAAAAAAAAAAAAUAACUAAACAGAAAACAUUUCAGUAGAAAA